CCUACGGGUGGCAGCAGUGGGGAAUCUUGGGCAAUGGGGGCAACCCUGACCCAGCAACGCCGCGUGAAUGAAGAAGGCUUUCGGGUUGUAAACUUCUUUUCUCAGGGAAGAAGUCAGUUACGGUACCUGAGUAAUAAUCCACGGCUAACUACGUGCCAGCAGCCGCGGUAAUACGUAGGGGGCAAGCGUUCUCCGGAUUUACUGGGUGUAAAGGGCGGGUAGGCGGGGGCGCAAGUCAGAAGUGAAAGCCGAGGGCUCAACCCGGAGCCUGCAUUUGAAACUGUGUGGCUUGAGUGCUGGAGAGGCAAGCGGAAUUCCGAGUGUAGCGGUGAAAUGCGUAGAUAUACGGAGGAACACCAGUGGCGAAGGCGGAUUGCUGGACAGUAACUGACGCUGAGGCGCGAAAGCGUGGGGAGCAAACAGGAUUAGAUACCCCAGUAGUC
rnacentral:rRNA from 1 species